AUACGUAGGGUGCGAGCGUUUUCCGGAAUUACUGGGCGUAAAGAGCUCGUAGGUGGUUUGUCGCGUCGUCUGUGAAAUUCCGGGGCUUAACUCCGGGCGUGCAGGCGAUACGGGCAUAACUUGAGUACUGUAGGGGAGACUGGAAUUCCUGGCGUAGCGGUGAAAUGCGCAGAUAUCAGGAGGAACACCGGUGGCGAAGGCGGGUCUCUGGGCAGUAACUGACGCUGAGGAGCGAAAGCAUGGGUAGCGAACAGGAUUAGAUACCCUGGUAGUCCAUGCCGUAAACGGUGGGCGCUAGGUGUAGGGGUCUUCCACGACUUCUGUGCCGUAGCUAACGCAUUAAGCGCCCCGCCUGGGGAGUACGGCCGCAAGGCUAAAACUCAAAUGAAUUGACGGGG
rnacentral:rRNA from 1 species